rnacentral:lncRNA from 1 species
CUCGAAUCGAUUUCCCCUGUCCGUUAAUUUUCACAAAAUUGUAAAGCAAUUUCAAUUCGUUACCUUCGGGAAAACACCACAAAAUCAUGAGUCCGUUUUACUUAGUCAACAUCGUCUUUCUUGUUUUCCCGUCGAUGAGAUCCGGAAAAGACAGAAUUGCUGCACUUCAUCAAUUAAAACAUUAAAUGGUUUGGAAACCUGUGUUUGUAAUUGGUUUGUAUUCUCUGGUAACCGUAGCCUAACAUUUUAAUGUAGUGAGGCCUAGUCAAAAAUUGAUGAAAUUAGCUAGGCUUAGAAAUAAGACCUUACCGGGUACCUGACGUGACAAACUGAUUUGUGUGGUGUUUUGCAAAAAUCUUACCUGCCAAGGCCAAUUUCUUGUUUUAUCAGCCAGACAACACCAGAAGGAGAACUACCUUUGAUAAUACCGGUAUGCCAUGCUUGGAGAGGGACGUGCAACCUCAAGAUGGGACCUCUCGGGAUGAUGUUGAGUGAUUGGGACCAGGGCGAACUGGUGACGACCCCUGACUCUGCUUGAGUUGCUUGCCAUUGUGAAAUGAGCUCAGGGAUGCUGCUCCAAGACCGUUUCUACAUCUAACGGGACGUAGUUCUGGAACGCCACUUACACAGCAGGAGGUCUUGGCUUGCCCCCGUCACAUCUUUCAAGCCGUUAAGGUUCCUGACGACUACACACCGAUGACAUCAGUGGCCAAACGCCGAGGUUUUCUACCCCCUUUGACCUGGGCUUACAUGUACUUCGUGGAUGCGCUAAUGUGCGCUUACAAUUAGCAUUCUAUGCUUACAUCGCUUGCACAUAUCCUAUACAAGCUGAGUAAGCUGAAAAUCUUUGCUUGGGAUACGUCAAUGUGCUUACCCAAAUGUCCCUGCUAACCAACUCAAAAAUACUUUUUAAAAAUGAUUUUUAACUACUUUGUACGGAUAUCGUGGGAACAGGCUGCCAAAACAAAUUACUCUUUAAAUGUGACACUGGCAGAAAACUGAACUGAAGACCAAUUUGGUAGGCAACUGUUUGGAGUGGAUUUUUUUUACCAUUCUGUUGAAGCAAAGUUGGUAUUGAUUGUUGAGUGUUUUAAAAAAAAACACUCUUACAGAUUAAAUUAAUUUUACUUUUUGAGAGGGUAUGCGAAACAACCGCGAGUACUUUUUGGCUCUUUGGCAGGAAAUAAUACUCUAUUUAUUCUAAGUAUUCUGCUGUGGCUAACGGACAGUCCUCAUACAGGUUGUCUCUGCUUGAAAAAAAUCCAAUCAUUCCCGAAACUUCCACGAUGCUCUGUAACAGUUGAGCAGGGGCAUUUUUAACGACUCCUCAACAUGUCGAUCAAACAUUCAUCAGGUACUCUGCUUUUUGAGACAAAGGCCAUUAUUUUGUACAAGUUCCAAUGUGAAGAGAAUAAUGGAUCAAGCUACAAAUGCGGCUGAAGUUUCCAUUCGAAAACACCAGCAAUGCAUGUAGAUAAUUUUCCGAAGGUCGUGAUGACAUUUUAAUUUUAUUUUUCAAAUCACUUGGCCUUAGACUUUCAGAACCUUUCAAGACGGCUCAAAAUUGAUAAUAAAAUUGCAUUUUGAAGACUGAA